GAUGAAGAACGUAGCGAAAUGCGAUAAGUAAUGUGAAUUGCAGAAUUCAGUGAAUCAUCGAAUCUUUGAACGCACAUUGCGCCCGCCAGUAUUCUGGCGGGCAUGCCUGUUCGAGCGUUAUUACAACCCUCAGGCCCCCGGGCCUGGCGUUGGGGAUCGGCGGAAGCCCCCUGCGGGCACAACGCCGUCCCCCAAAUACAGUGGCGGUCCCGCCGCAGCUUCCAUUGCGUAGUAGCUAACACCUCGCAACUGGAGAGCGGCGCGGCCACGCCGUAAAACACCCAACUUCUGAAUGUUGACCUCGAAUCAGGUAGGAAUACCCGCUGAACUUAAGCAUAUCAAUAAGCGGAGGA
rnacentral:misc_RNA from 1 species